rnacentral:rRNA from 1 species
UACGAAGGGGGCUAGCGUUGCUCGGAAUUACUGGGCGUAAAGGGAGCGUAGGCGGACAGUUUAGUCAGAGGUGAAAGCCCAGGGCUCAACCUUGGAAUUGCCUUUGAUACUGGCUGUCUUGAGUAUGGGAGAGGUGUGUGGAACUCCGAGUGUAGAGGUGAAAUUCGUAGAUAUUCGGAAGAACACCAGUGGCGAAGGCGACACACUGGCCCAUUACUGACGCUGAGGUGCGAAAGCGUGGGGAGCAAACAGG